rnacentral:rRNA from 1 species
AAUUUUUGACAAUGGGCGCGAGCGUGAUCCAGCCAUGCCGCGAGAGUGAAGAAGGCCUUCGGUUGGUAAAGCUCUUUCGGACGGAAAGAAAUCGCUCAGGCUAAUACCCUGCGCGUAUGACGGUACCGUCAUAAGAAACAACUGCUAACUACGUGCCAGCAGCCGCGGUAAUACGUAGGGUGCGAGCGUUAACCGGAAUUACUGGGCGUAAAGCGUGCGCAGGCGGUUGAUUAAGACAGGCGUGAAAUCCCCGGGCUUAACCUGGGAACUGCGCUUGUGACUGGUCAGCUAGAGUACGGCAGAGGGGGGUGGAAUUCCACGUGUAGCAGUGAAAUGCGUAGAGAUGUGGAGGAACACCGAUGGCGAAGGCAGCCCCCUGGGCCGAUACUGACGCUCAUGCACGAGAGCGUGGGUAGCAAACAGG